UCAGUUGCUGGGCGACGUUUUGGGGCAGAUAAGGGUCUGGUGAAGUGCCAUAGAGGCGUUUUGUAAUUGGAUGACAAUGCGAAACGCCCAAGGUAUGAGAGCCAGACAAUGCUAUCAUAUCAGUUGUGCUAAGAUUUCUUGUCAAAGAUGGUUUUAAGCUGGUAGAGAUUGAAGAAGGAAUCUGGUAUAUUUUCAGCUACCCUGGAUGCCUGAGAUAUUAGGCCAUCAUGACGUCCCAAUUCCACAUCAAAUGUAGGGCCACCGGUCUGAAAAUUUUCUACAUGUCAGGAGCAAAAAGAAAAAAGAAGCUAUCAGGGAUUGACAACAGCUUGAAGUUCAGUGCGAGUUGUUCAUGCUUGUGGACUUUCUUACCAGGACAACUGCAUCUCUGGCAGCAAGAGCUAAAAUGUCCGCACACGAGACUACACCAGGGCAUUCAUUUUCCACUGCUAUCUUUGACCUGUUGACAGUGUCAAACCCUUCUCUUCUGAGAGAAAGAUUAGCUUCUGCAUCCCUCUCUGAAUCACCAUUUGCUGAAGCAAUCAAGAUUGAGGCAUCACAUCCCUGCAAAGCAAAUUGAGCAGAAAGCACCAGGAGAUCAACGUACCAGCAUAAGAAUGUUUUAACAUGACAGUCAGUGCUGUAAAAGGUUAUUUCUGUAUUCAAAGAGUUAAUCAGUUAUUUUACUUAAUUUUCUGAUAUCAUUGCGUAUAAUAUAUUUGCAGCCAGAACCAAAAUUGACAAAGGGUUAAAAGAAGACUCAAGCUAUAUCGGUAUCUUCUCAGUCAAUGCGAUAGGCAUGCAAAAGGCAUUUUUUUAUUCUUCCUACCUCAACGAAACAGUCGUGAAAAAAUGCGCGCAGAAUGGCUGGGCCUGAGAUAUUAGUCUCCAUAUACUUGGCAGUCACUGCCUUCUUCACAAUGUCUUCUACAUUCGGACAGCUGGACUCGUAAAAACCUUCAACUAAUUGCCCUCCUGCUCUCUGCAUAAUCAUGAAAGCCAUUAGCACAAACAUGCCUCUCCAAGCUUCCAUUUCUCUUAGAAAAUGAUAACUUCUCUCCUGCUCUUGGUAUCUCAUUCUCUGUUAGUCUUUUGGUGCGGCCGAGUCUAUUUAUAAUGGCAAUCAAUGACUCAUAAGGAAGAAGAAACCAGGGAAGCUAGCCCAACUUUGUAGAAAGCUAUGAGGGACAUGUGACCAUAUUUGAUGAGGAGGAGCUUUGCCUCUAAUGGAACUCACUAUUAUAGGAAUCAGAGUUUUCAGAGUGCUCUAUAUGGGGUGGUUUAGGACCUAUUCUAAUGACUCUGCUUUUCUUAAUUUCACCAUUUCAUUCCUUGCCUUGUUAUGUAUAGCACUUCCUUGAAAAUGCUUCACUUGUAGGCUAGCUAGCCAUUGUGAAUGACAACUUUCUGAUCGACUUGUUUGGUACUAUGUGAAUCCUUUAAUGAUGACAUGGUGAAAUAUCUUAAUCUGAUACUUGUAUUUUUUAGGUGAUAUUUGAAAAUGUAAAUAAAGAAAGAAUGUGUAAAAACAUUUACGUUGUACAA